UGCCGUGAUGAGUUAUCCAGUAGGAAGUGCCGUCAGAGUCGAUAACUGACGAUAACUGUUCCCGGCUGACU